GACGAACGCUGGCGGCGUGCUUAACACAUGCCAGUCGAACGGAAAGGCCCUGCUUUUGUGGGGUGCUCGAGUGGCGAACGGGUGAGUAACACGUGAGUAACCUGCCCUUGACUUUGGGAUAACUUCAGGAAACUGGGGCUAAUACCGGAUAGGAGCUCCUGCUGCAUGGUGGGGGUUGGAAAGUUUCGGCGGUUGGGGAUGGACUCGCGGCUUAUCAGCUUGUUGGUGGGGUAGUGGCUUACCAAGGCUUUGACGGGUAGCCGGCCUGAGAGGGUGACCGGGCACAUUGGGACUGAGAUACGGACCAGACGCCUACGGGAGGCAGCAGUGGGGAAUAUUGCACAAUGGGCGGAAGCCUGAUGCAGCAACGCCGCGUGCGGGAUGACGGCCUUCGGGUUGUAAACCGCUUUCGCCUGUGACGAAGCGUGAGUGACGGUAAUGGGUAAAGAAGCACCGGCUAACUACGUG
rnacentral:rRNA from 1 species